UCUCUCUCUCUCUCUCUCUCUCUCUCUCUCUCACUUCACCAGAACGAAAUUCUCUCUAGUUUGCUUGGGUGUACACACAUCUGGUCCACAGGGAAUCUGAAGACGGUCACACACGUACACCUCCCACAAGAUGUACAUAUUCCUUCCCCCCUUUUACCUACGCGCUUUUUUUUCUACUAAGCCAAACGUUCCUUUUUAUCAAGGUGUACACUACUGAUGCUGUUUGUUGUAUUGGGAACACAUAGCAAUAAAAAAAAAAUAAAAAUGAAAGAGG
rnacentral:lncRNA from 1 species